UGUAAGCAUUCCUGCUUUUCUCUUUGAUGUUUUGAUUUUUCCAGAAUCCAAGGGCCGAGGUUUUUCACCUUGGUGUUAGAAGUUCCAAGUGGAACAAAGGACAGCAGUUGCAGACGGUACUCCCUGAACAUGUUUUGUUUAAUCUUUCUUUUUAAAGAACAACAAAUCUCUUUUUUCCCAUUUAACAAAUAUUUUUAUUGAGGACUUUCAAUGUGCCAGGAAUUGAUAGAAAUGUCGGAGUACAAUGAUGAACCAGGUGCCCACCAAGAUAUUGCGGACCAGAGGGAUACUUUGGAGGAUCAAGUGCUUUAAGGCGAUGUUCUCACCGAUGCUGCAGUCAAACAGGAUGGGCUCCUGGGACACGAUGCCCAUUUGUGCUCGGAGCCACUGGACAUUCAGUUCUUGCUUACCGAAACUAAUGUAGAAAUCAUUUCACUGAUAAGUUGUUGCCACAUGCAGCCAGAGGAAACAUUUGCACAGGAAGAAGCAACAAGGAAGAAAAUCAUUUAGAUGCCAGAAAAGAUAAAUGAAGAAAAGAAAUGAGAGCCAGUUUCCUCCUGCACCUGCUAAUCUGAAGAGCAAGACUGAGAACUUAAGUUACUUGUCUAUUUGGAAGCAGAGAAGGGAGGGGGAAGAACAAACUGGAAGUGCCCGCAGUGAAGAGACAAACCCAAAUCCUGCCGGGAAGAAUCUCCUU